rnacentral:rRNA from 1 species
GAUGAACGCUGGCGGCGUGCCUAAUACAUGCAAGUCGAGCGAACAGACGCGGAGCUUGCUCCUCUGACGUUAACCGCGGACGGGUGAGUAACAUGUGGAUAACCUACCUAUAAGACUGGGCUAACUUCGGGAAACCGGAGCUAAUAACGGAUAAUAUAUUGAACCGCAUGGUUCAAUAGUGAAAGACGGUUUUGCUGUCCCUUAUAGAUGGAUCCGCGUCGCAUUAGCUAGUUGGUAAGGUAACGGCUUACCAAGGCAACGAUGCGUAGCCGACCUGAGAGCGUGAUCGGCCACACUGGAACUGAGACACGGUCCAGACUCCUACAGGAGGCAGCAGUAGGGAAUCUUCCGCAAUGGGCGAAAGCUUGACGGAGCAACGCCACGUGAGUGAUGAAGGUCUUCGGAUCGUAUAACUCUGUUAUUAGGGAAGAACAAAUGUGUAAGUAACUAUGCACGUCUUGACGGUACCUAAACAGAAAGCCACGGCUAACUACGUG